rnacentral:rRNA from 1 species
CCCUUAGAUGUUCGGGGCCGCACGCGCGCUACACUGAUGGGGACAGCGUGUUUGCCAUUCCUGGUCCGGCAGGAUUGGGCAAUCCGUUGAACCCCCGUCGUGAUUGGGAUCGGAGCUUGUAACUAUUCUCCGUAAACGAGGAAUUCCCAGUAAGCGCAAGUCAUCAGCUUGCGCUGAAUACGUCCCUGCCCUUUGUACACACCGCCCGUCGCUCCUACCGAUUGAGUGGUCCGGUGAGGCUUUGGGAUCUGAGCGGAAAGAGCGUUUCGCUGUUUCUGCCCGGAAAACUCAGUCGAACCUUAUCAUUUAGAGGAAGGAGAAGUCGUAACA